rnacentral:rRNA from 1 species
ACUCCUACGGGAGGCAGCAGUGGGGAAUUUUGGACAAUGGGCGAAAGCCUGAUCCAGCAAUGCCGCGUGAGUGAAGAAGGCCUUCGGGUUGUAAAGCUCUUUUGUCAGGGAAGAAACGGUGAAAGCUAAUAUCUUUUGCUAAUGACGGUACCUGAAGAAUAAGCACCGGCUAACUACGUGCCAGCAGCCGCGGUAAUACGUAGGGUGCAAGCGUUAAUCGGAAUUACUGGGCGUAAAGCGUGCGCAGGCGGUUUUGUAAGUCUGAUGUGAAAUCCCCGGGCUCAACCUGGGAAUUGCAUUGGAGACUGCAAGGCUAGAAUCUGGCAGAGGGGGGUAGAAUUCCACGUGGAGCAGUGAAAUGCGUAGAUAUGUGGAGGAACACCGAUGGCGAAGGCAGCCCCCUGGGUCAAGAUUGACGCUCAUGCACGAAAGCGUGGGGAGCAAACAGGAUUAGAAACCCCUGUAGUCCC